CAGUUUCUGAAAAAUGUUCUGUUUUUUCUCCCUCUGCUUGCUUCUUACUGUCUUUGAGGCUCGGGACCAGCACUCCUGUUGUUGGACAGAAAGACAUCAACUCAGUGACUUGAGAUAUGACUGCACUAUGCUGUUGCUGUGACUCCAGUUAAUUCUACAAGACAUGCUGUGACAACAGGAGAGAUGAGUCCUCCAUCACAGAUGGUGUGGUCAGUGAAGAUGGUCGCCUGCAGGUUCAAGCUCAUUGCAUCUCCAACCCACAUCCACUGCCACUGUACUGAAGGGAAGUUAAAGACUUUCUUCUGCACCUACAUUUGGAUCACCUCGA